rnacentral:rRNA from 1 species
GUGUCAGCAGCCGCGGUAAUACGGAGGAUGCGAGCGUUAUCCGGAUUUAUUGGGUUUAAAGGGUGCGUAGGCGGAUUAAUAAGUCAGUGGUGAAAACCUUCAGCUUAACUGGAGACUUGCCAUUGAUACUGUUAGUCUUGAGUACGGUCAAGGUAGGCGGAAUGUGUAAUGUAGCGGUGAAAUGCUUAGAUAUUACACAGAACACCGAUUGCGAAGGCAGCUUACUGGGCCAUUACUGACGCUGAUGCACGAAAGCGUGGGGAGCGAACAGGAUUAGAUACCCCUGUAGUCC